rnacentral:lncRNA from 1 species
AUGUCUUCCUGGUUUGGUGGCCUUGGCUCCAGGUAAGCCCCUUCUUUGCAUUGGAUGGGCAGCAAUGUGGCUUCUUUCAUCAGCCACAUCUCAAAUGUGCUCCUAAAUGUCAUAGAAAAAGGAAAGAGCUCCCUAACUAUGGGAUAAAGGAGACUGAUGCCAGUUUGGAAUUCUUAAUAUCAAAGAAUGAGGGACUUCAAGAUCUUUUUAGUGACCUAGGAGAGACCUAGGAAGCAUCAGAGCUUCAGAUAGGGCAGCAAACUAAAAGUUAUCGACAUCAAUUACAACAGAAAGAGGUAGAAAUGAGCCUUCCUAAAACAAGAAAGCAAGCACUACAGGAUCGGUUGCAGGACCGGCAGCCAGCCCUGGAGUCAGCACAUUCAGGGAAGGCCGGAGGUUCCCAUCCACACUGCAUCCCCUCCAUUCCAUGUGGUACCCAUCAUGCUUCAGUGUUCCACGACGCUUACAUGGGUUUUUAUGACAUAAUUUCAUCAUAACAAGAAAUAAACAGAUAGUCCAAUGAAGUUCUAAAACUUGAGUCUCCAGUUGGCCAUUGGAAAUGUAUUGCUCAGACUUAUAAAAUAGGAGGAACAACUAGUUUUGAUGAAAAUGAAAUCUACAAACUACAAACACCAAAUAUUAAUAUCAUCAAGGAGCUCAAACAAAAAAGAAGUCAGGAUACUGAUGACCAUCAGCUUGAAUUAUCAGUAUUACAGAAUGUUCAUCAACAGAAAUUGAGGGAAAUAAGUUGUAAGCAUCAAGAAAAUCUAAGCAAUUAGGAAGAAAAGAUUGAAGAACUGGAAAAUUUGUUACAGCAAGGUGGCUCAGGAAUUACAGUACAUGAUCUCUCUAAACUUCAAGAGAAGGAAAACACUAUUCAUGCAAGCUCUACAAAUUGAAAAAGUAGAGUCUACCAAAAAAUUGAAGAAUUUGAACAUAGAGUAAAAGACAAAUAAAAAAUUAUCUUCUGGGGCCAGGUGCAGUGGCUCACACCUGUAAUCCUAGCACUUUGGGAGGUCAAGAUGGGAAGAUCACUUGAGCUCAGGAGUAUGAGACUAGCCUGGACAACAUACUAAAACCUCAUCUCUAUGAAAAAUUUAAAAAAAAAAAAAAGGCCAGAAGCAGUGGCAUGCACCUGUACUCCCAACUAGUUGAAAGGCUGAGGCAACAGGAUCAUUUGAGCCCAGGAAUUUGAGGCUGCAGUGAGCUAUUAUCACACCAUUGCACUCUUGUCUGGGUGACAGAGUGAGACCCCUAGCUGAAAAGAGGCUAUUGGAAGAAACAACUCUGAGAAAACCAUGAAAAGAUUGUCCACUGAAGCUAACCUGGAGAGCUCUGCCUUACAGCUAGAGCAAGAGUGUGUAAUUAAACUCAGCCACGAGAAAGACUCUGAAAUGUCAGCACUCAAAAAGAAUAUUGAGGCUGGGUGCAAUGCAUCACACCUGUAAUCCCAGCACUUUGGGAGGUCGAGGUAGGUGGAUCACCUGAGGUCAGGAGUUCAAGACCAGCCUGGCCAACAUGGUGAAACCCAGUCUCUACUAAAAAUACAAAAAUUAGUCAGGCGUGGUGGCGGGCGCCUGUAAUCCCAGCUGCUGGGGAAGCUGAGACGAGACAAUCGCUUGAACCUUGGAGGCAGAGGUUGCAGUGAGCUGAGAUCUGGCCUCUGCAGGGUGGUCCAGCCUAGGUGACAGGGUGGUCCAGUCAAGGUGACAGAGACAACGUGACAAGGUUACUGUCUCAAAAAAAAAAAAAGAAUAUUAAACAGAUGGACACUGACCAUAAAGAAACUAAAGAAAAAGUGCUCCUAAAUUUACUCCAAGAGAUUGAAGAGCUAAGAAAAUCGCUGCAGGAAAAAGAUGCAACCAUUAGAUCCCUCCAAGAAGACAAUCAGAGACUGAUUUGAUUUUGUCAUCUAGUUGAGAAGAGCAGAAGCAAUUGACACAACUUAUAAGAGAGAAAGCAAUUUUUUUAAAAAAAAACUUAAAGGAAGUUCAGAGCUUCCAGAGGAAUUAUUAUACUAAAACCUUAAGAAAGAAAGAAAGAAAUUUCAUAGCAAACCAUAGAGGAAAAAGACAGAUGUCUUGCAUCCAUGAAAGAAAAAAAAAUCUGAUAGAAGAAUUGAAAUGACUCAGAGGACAACAAAGUCUAACUGCCCCUGUGGCUGAGCCUAGAAUGGUAGAUACUAUUAUGGUACUAGAAUUGGAGAUAUUUCAAAUGAAAAUAAUCAAAGGUAAUCUUGAGGAGGGAAUAAAGUAUCAUCAAAAUAUAUUUGAAGGUUGGUAAAUAACCAUAAUUGAAGAGCAAACACAGAGUAAGAUGCAACUGCUUCAGUCUUUAAAAGAGGAGAAAAAAGUAGGAAAUGGAUGAUUUUUAAAACCAGCACAAGCAAAUGAGUAUCACAUACACCCAGCUCUUUUCAGUAAAAGGUGAAGAAAUUAGGAAUUUGCAAAACACAAUAGGAAAAGAAUCAAAACCCAGCUGCAUGAAACAGGACAAGACAUUAAAAGACUCUGAGCCAUUUUUCAAGCAACAGAAGUUGAAUGUCCCAAUAUAGAAAGCAGAAGUGAAACGCAUAGUUUAUUUAAAUCUGAAACUGAAAGAUUAGUGAAAGGAAUGAAAGAGCAAGAAUUGGAGAUUAAUCCUGAAUCAAGGACCAGAGGGGGAAAGAAAGAAUUGGAGAAUAAAUUUAUAAGUAAAAAUAAUAUGACUUUAAACAGAUGGAUCAGCUGUCCAUCAAUGGGGUUGGUCAGGAAGAUACAGAGGUGCAGGGCCUUCAGGCUAGAACAGCUUCAGCCUCUGACACCCAGGGCGUUGCUCACCUUCAGCAGCAACUGCAAGCACCUGCUUUGGACAGAGAACAAAUACAGGCUGUUUGGAAUAAGGCAGCUCAAGAAAAUAGCUGUCUCAAAAAGGAAGAUCACCAAACAAUGGAUAUUAUUGCUGGUAAUGAAACAGGCCCCCAUAAGCUGCAAGAGGAAAAUAAAAAACUGUCCACUAGUAAUGGUCAGGAGAAAUUUAAAGACACUUUUCAGAAGUCAUCAUGUCUCAUUCUAGAAAAAGACAUUGAAACAGAUGCAUUAAGUCAGGAAUGUCAAACUUUAGUGACAAUUUUGCAAGCAUCCAGCACUGGUCAUGAGAUUGGAGGUGUUAAUGGUAAUCCGUUUGAGGAGCUUCCACAAGGACCUAAUAAAUUAAAACAGCCAGUUAAGAAAAUGGAAGUGUGGAAAAAAUGGAAAGAGCAGCUGGCGACCACAGUGGGUGCAGCAUGGGGCAGCCCAACUCCAAGAAGAACUUUGUCACCUUCAAGCAAAGCUUUUAACUGACAGUGAUAAUGAUUUUAAACUCCAGAUGAACUGUAGUGACCUGAUGCAAAAAAACGAAGGGAAUGAAACUCAACUCAAAAACCUGGGGCAGGAGUUAGCACACACGCAGCACAGCAUCAGACAGCUCUGUCACGGCAAGGACAGUUUCUUCCCACAGCUGGAUAUUUUACCCCAGCUCCCCAGAGAAGCACUUUCUUCACAUGCCGCAGAAUCUCCUCACGCAAGUGAGUCUGCUCUGUCGAGUGAGUCUUCUAAAUUGCUCCAAGAUAUUGAAGAGCUAAGAAAAUCACUGCAGGAAAAAGAUGCAACCAUUAGAUCCCUCCAAGGAGACAAUCAGAGACUGUCUGAUUCCACUGCUGCCAUCUCAGAGCUAGAAAGAAAAGAACAUAUAUAAAUGCAUUCAGAAAUUCAGCAGCUGAAGGAGAAACAAAAUGUCUUAGACAGGUUACUUAGGGGAAAAAACCUUUUCAUCAAAGCCAAAAGUAGUAAAUUACAUUCUUAGAGAGAAAAUCUCACUAAUAAAUGAAUAAAAAUGAGCUUUUGAGGCAGGCAGUCAGAAACCUGAAGGAGAGAAUAUCAAUUUUAGAAAUGCAUAUGGGUAAACUAAAACAGGACAAUGAAAAAGUAGUAGAAACAUCCAGGGGGGAAAAAAAACAGGCCAGGUGCAGUGGCUCACGCCUGUAA